rnacentral:tRNA from 1 species
GUUAAGAUGGCAAAGCCUGGCAAUUGCAUAAAACUUAAAACUUUAUUACUCAGAGGUUCAACUCCUCUUCUUAAC